rnacentral:rRNA from 1 species
CCUACGGGAGGCAGCAGUGGGGAAUAUUGGACAAUGGGGGGAACCCUGAUCCAGCGACGCCGCGUGAGUGAAGAAGUAUUUCGGUAUGUAAAGCUCUAUCAGCAGGGAAGAAAGAAAUGACGGUACCUGACUAAGAAGCCCCGGCUAACUACGUGCCAGCAGCCGCGGUAAUACGUAGGGGGCAAGCGUUAUCCGGAUUUACUGGGUGUAACGGGAGCGUAGACGGCGAUGCAAGUCUGAAGUGAAAGGCGGGGGCCCAACCCCCGGACUGCUUUGGAAACUGUAUGGCUGGAGUGCUGGAGAGGUAAGUGGAAUUCCGAGUGUAGCGGUGAAAUGCGUAGAUAUUAGGAGGAACACCAGUGGCGAAGGCGGAUUACUGGACUGUAACUGACGUUGAGGCUCGAAAGCGUGGGGAGCAAACAGGAUUAGAUACCCGAGUAGUC